GGGGGGGGGGGGGGGGGGGGGGGGGGGGGGGGGGGUUGCAUAAAAAGGCCACGGGCCGGGCGUGGGAGCCGCCUCGCAGAUGGCGUCUCAUGCAAAGAACCAUUUCGGGGCUGCGGCCAUCUUAGAGAGGAGGAGGAGGAGGAGAGGGAGGAAGAGGAGGAGGAGGAAAAGGGGGAGAAGGAGGAAAAGGAGGAGGAGGAGGAAAAGCAGAAGGAAGAGGAUGAGGAGGAAAAGGAGGAGGUAGAAGAGGAGGAUGAGGAGGAUGAAGAGGAGGAGGAGGAGGAGGAAAAGCAGAAGGAGAAGAAGGAGGAGGAGGAGGAAGAAGAAGAGGAGGAGGAAAAGGAGGAAGAAAAGAGGGAGGAGGAGGAAGAGGAUGAGGAGGAGGAGGAAGAGCAGGAAAAGCAGAAGAAAGAGGAAGAUGAGGAGGAGGAGGAAAAGCAGAAGAAGGAGGAGGAGGAGUAAAAGGAGGAGUAAAAGGAGGAAGAAGAGGAGGAGGAAGAGGAAGAGGAAAAGACGGAGGAGGAGGAGGAUGAAGAGGAAGAGGAGGAAAAGCAGGAGAAAGAGGAAGAUGAGAAGGACGAAAAGCAGGAGAAGGAGGAGGAUGAGGAAGAAGAAGAAGAGGAGGAGGAAAAGGUGGCAGAAAAGAGGGAGGAUGAGGAGGAGGAUGAGGUGGAGGAUGAGGAGAAAAAGGAGGAGGAUGAGGAAGAAGAAGAGGAGGAGGAAAAGCAGAAGAAGGAGGAGAAGAAGGAGGAGGAGGAAGGGGAAAAGGAGGAGGAAGGGGAGGAGGAUGAGGAUGAGGAGUAAAAGGAGGAAGAAGAGGAGGAAAAGGACGAGGAAAAGAGGGAGGAGGAUGAGGAUGAUGAGGAGGAAAAGGAGGAGCAAGAAGAGGAGAAGGAGGAGGAAGAAGACGAGGAGGAAAAGGAGGAGAAAAAGAAGGAGGAAAAGAGGGAGGAGGAAGAAGAGGAGAAGGAGGAUGAAGAGGAGGAGGAGGAGGAAGAAAAGCAGAAGGAGGAGGAGGAAAAGUGGGAGGAGAAAAGAGGGAGGAGGAGGAGGAAAAGGAGGAGGAAGAAGAGGAGAAGGAGGAUGA
rnacentral:lncRNA from 12 species